rnacentral:ncRNA from 1 species
CACCAGAGUGAGCCUGCGGCUUAUUUGACUCAACACGGGAAACCUCACCCGGCCCGGACACGGACAGGAUUGACAGAUUGAUAGCUCUUUCUCGAUUCCGUGGGUGGUGGUGCAUGGCCGUUCUUAGUUGGUGGAGCGAUUUGUCUGGUUAAUUCCGAUAACGAACGAGACUCUGGCAUGCUAACUAGUUACGCGACCCCCGAGCGGUCGGCGUCCCCCAACUUCUUAGAGGGACAAGUGGCGUUCAGCCACCCGAGAUUGAGCAAUAACAGGUCUGUGAUGCCCUUAGAUGUCCGGGGCUGCACGCGCGCUACACUGACUGGCUCAGCGUGUGCCUACCCUACGCCGGCAGGCGCGGGUAACCCGUUGAACCCCAUUCGUGAUGGGGAUCGGGGAUUGCAAUUAUUCCCCAUGAACGAGGAAUUCCCAGUAAGUGCGGGUCAUAAGCUUGCGUUGAUUAAGUCCC